GUCAGUCAGAGACGUGGAUGGUGAAGAAGAGAUAGCAUCCUUAAUGGUGAAACCGAUGGAAUGCUAUGGGGGCCUUAUAAACGGACAGGCGACAGAACGAUGUCAGUGCAGUCUCCAUGCCGAAGAGAAAGC